rnacentral:rRNA from 1 species
AGAGUUUGAUCCUGGCUCAGGAUGAACGCUAGCGACAGGCCUAACACAUGCAAGUCGAGGGGCAGCAUUUCUAGCUUGCUAGAAGAUGGCGACCGGCGCACGGGUGAGUAACGCGUAUGCAACCUACCUUAUACUGGGGGAUAGCCCAGAGAAAUCUGGAUUAAUACCGCAUAAUAUUAUUUUAUCGCAUGGUAGAAUAAUUAAAACUCCGGUGGUAUAAGAUGGGCAUGCGUAGCAUUAGUUUGUUGGUGAGGUAACGGCUCACCAAGACUAUGAUGCUUAGGGGGUCUGAGAGGAUAGUCCCCCACACUGGUACUGAGACACGGACCAGACUCCUACGGGAGGCAGCAGUGAGGAAUAUUGGUCAAUGGACGAAAGUCUGAACCAGCCAUGUCGCGUGCAGGAUGACGGCCCUAUGGGUUGUAAACUGCUCUUUUACAGGAAUAAUUGUCGCUACGUGUAGUGAUUUGAAUGUACUGUAUGAAUAAGAUCGCUAACU